GAUCAUGGCUCAGGAUGAACGCUGGCGGCGUGCUUGACACAUGCAAGUCGAACGAAGCACUUUACUUGAUUUCCUUCGGGGAUGAUUGUUUUGUGACUGAGUGGCGGACGGGUGAGUAACGCGUGGAUAACCUGCCUCACACAGGGGGAUAACAGUUGGAAACGACUGCUAAUACCGCAUAAGCGCACAGCACCGCAUGGUGCAGUGUGAAAAACUCCGGU
rnacentral:rRNA from 1 species